GAUGAACGCUAGCGGCAGGCCUAAUACAUGCAAGUCGAACGGUAAGGCCCUUUCGGGGGUACACGAGUGGCGGACGGGUACGUAACGCGUAUGCAACAUGCCUUCCAGCGGGGGAUAUACCAGGGAAACUUGGCGCAAUACCCCAUAGAAUUACGGGACCGCAUGGUCUUGUGAUUAAAACUACCGGUGCUGGGAGAUUGGCAUGCGUGACAUUAGCUAGUUGGCGGGGUAACGGGCCCACCAAGGCGACGAUGUCUAGCUGGUCUGAGAGGAUGAUCAGCCACACUGGGACUGAGACACGGCCCACGACUCCUACGGGAGGCAGCAGUAGGGAAGU
rnacentral:rRNA from 1 species